rnacentral:rRNA from 1 species
GCUGAUCGCAUGGUCUUGCACCGGCGACGUAUCUAUCAAGUAUCUGCCUUAUCAACUUUCGAUGGUAGUUUAUGUGCCUACCAUGGUUGUUACGGGUAACGGAGAAUAAGGGUUCGACUCCGGAGAGGGAGCCUGAGAAACGGCUACCACAUCCAAGGAAGGCAGCAGGCGCGCAAAUUACCCACUCUCAGCAUGAGGAGGUAGUGACGAAAAAUAACGAGACCGUUCUCUUUGAGGCCGGUUAUCGGAAUGGGUACAAUUUAAACCCGUUAACGAGGAUCUAUGAGAGGGCAAGUCUGGUGCCAGCAGCCGCGGUAAUUCCAGCUCUCAAAGUGUAUAUCGUCAUUGCUGCGGUUAAAAAGCUCGUAGUUGGAUCUUCGCUUCUGGACCCGGUCCGCCCAUUGGACGAGAACUGGGCUCCGAAGCUUGAUUAGCCGGUUUGCUCUGUGUUGCCUUCACCGGUCGCACAGGGUAGCCAGCAAGUUUACCUUGAAAAAAUUAGAGUGCUCAAUGCGGGCUAAUGCCUGAAUACUCAUGCAUGGAAUAAUGGAAUAGGAUCACGGUUCUAUUUUGUUGGUUUCCGGAACUGCGAUAAUGGUUAAGAGGGACAGACGGGGGCAUUCGUAUCGCUGCGUGAGAGGUGAAAUUCUUGGACCGUAGCGAGACGCCCGACUGCGAAAGCAUUUGCCAAGAAUGUCU